CCCAUGGAGUCUCAGCUACUCCCAGGCUCCAUCUGUGCGGAUGCCCAACAAACCUACAUCUCCAGCCCACCCUCUGGCCCGAACCCCAGACUCCUUCUCACCCACCACUGCCAGCCUGAUGUCAUGUACACCCAAACUUCACAUGCCCAUGCUGACUUUCCCAGCCAGCUCCGCCUGCACCUUCCCCAGCAUAGUUCAAAGCAACUCCAAGCGUGUGGCAGGAUGGCCCGGUGGUCUAAGGUGCUAGACACAAGCUUCCACUUCCCAAGGCAACUCCAAACUUCCAGUAACUUGGGCCAACACGCUGGGGCUGCCUGU
rnacentral:lncRNA from 1 species